rnacentral:rRNA from 1 species
UACGAGGGGGGCGAGCGUUGUUCGGAUUCAUUGGGCGUAAAGGGUGCGUAGGCGGUUUCCUAAGUUUGAUGUGAAAUCCCGGGGCUUAACCCUGGAAUUGCAUUGAAUACUGGGAGACUAGAGUACUGGAGAGGAAACUGGAAUUUACGGUGUAGCAGUGAAAUGCGUAGAGAUCGUAAGGAAGACCAGUGGCGAAGGCGAGUUUCUGGACAGUUACUGACGCUGAGGCACGAAAGCCAGGGGAGCAAACGGG